rnacentral:rRNA from 1 species
AUUAAACGCUGGCGGCAUGCCUUACACAUGCAAGUCGAACGGCAGCACGGGGGCAACCCUGGUGGCGAGUGGCGGACGGGUGAGUAAAGCAUCGGAACGUAUCCUGGAGUGGGGGGAUAACGUAGCGAAAGUUACGCUAAUACCGCAUAUUCUGUGAGCAGGAAAGCAGGGGAUCGCAAGACCUUGCGCUCUGGGAGCGGCCGAUGUCGGAUUAGCUAGUUGGUGGGGUAAAGGCCUACCAAGGCGACGAUCCGUAGCGGGUCUGAGAGGAUGAUCCGCCACACUGGGACUGAGACACGGCCCAGACUCCUACGGGAGGCAGCAGUGGGGAAUUUUGGACAAUGGGCGGAAGCCUGAUCCAGCCAUGCCGCGUGAGUGAAGAAGG